rnacentral:rRNA from 1 species
CCUACGGGUGGCAGCAGUGAGGAAUAUUGGUCAAUGGACGAGAGUCUGAACCAGCCAAGUAGCGUGAAGGAUGACUGCCCAAUGUGUUGUAAACUUCUUUUAUAUGGGAAUAAAAUGUUCCACGUGUGGGAUGUUGUAUGUACCAGAUGAAUAAGGAUCGGCUAACUCCGUGCCAGCAGCCGCGGUAAUACGGAGGAUCCGAGCGUUAUCCGGAUUUAUUGGGUUUAAAGGGAGCGUAGGCGGCUUGUUAAGCCCGUCGUGAAAGUUUGCGGCUCAACCGUAAAAUUGCAGUUGAAACUGGCAGUCUUGAGUACACUUGAGGUAGGCGGAAUUCGUGGUGUAGCGGUGAAAUGCUUAGAUAUCACGAAGAACUCCGAUUGCGAAGGCAGCUUACGAAACUGCCACUGACAUUGAUGCUCGAAAGUGUGGGUAUCAAACAGGAUUAGAUACCCCUGUAGUC